CAAUUUAAAGCUUAAAUAGUAAAGUUUUUCAUUUACAUUGAAAAGAAAUUCGUGCAAAUCGAUUUAAAUUGA
rnacentral:tRNA from 3 species